rnacentral:rRNA from 1 species
AACGAACGCUGGCGGCAUGCCUAACACAUGCAAGUCGAACGAACCCUUCGGGGUUAGUGGCGCACGGGUGCGUAACGCGUGGGAAUCUGCCCUUUGCUUCGGAAUAACAGUUAGAAAUGACUGCUAAUACCGGAUGAUGUCUUCGGACCAAAGAUUUAUCGGCAAAGGAUGAGCCCGCGUAGGAUUAGGUAGUUGGUGGGGUAAAGGCCUACCAAGCCGACGAUCCUUAGCUGGUCUGAGAGGAUGAUCAGCCACGCUGGGACUGAGACACGGCCCAGACUCCUACGGGAGGCAGCAGUGGGGAAUAUUGGACAAUGGACGCAAGUCUGAUCCAGCAAUGCCGCGUGAGUGAUGAAGGCCUUAGGGUUGUAAAGCUCUUUUACCAGGGAUGAUAAUGACAGUACCUGGAGAAUAAGCUCCGGCUAACUCCGUGCCAGCCGCCGCAGUAAGAC